GUGACCUCAAAUCAGGUAGGACUACCCGCUGAACUUAAGCAUAUCAAUAAGCGGAGGAAAAGAAACUAACAAGGAUUCCCCUAGUAACUGCGAGUGAAGCGGGAAAAGCUCAAAUUUAAAAUCUGGCAGUCUUUGACUGUCCGAGUUGUAAUCUAGAGAGGUGUUUUCGGCGCUGGACCGUGUACAAGUCUCCUGGAAUGGAGCGUCAUAGAGGGUGAGAAUCCCGUCUCUGACACGGGCUGCCAGGGCUUUGUGAUGCACUCUCAAAGAGUCGAGUUGUUUGGGAAUGCAGCUCAAAAUGGGUGGUAAAUUCCAUCUAAAGCUAAAUAUUGGCGAGAGACCGAUAGCGAACAAGUACCGUGAGGGAAAGAUGAAAAGAACUUUGGAAAGAGAGUUAAACAGUACGUGAAAUUGCUGAAAGGGAAACGCUUGAAGUCAGUCGCGUUGUCCAGGGAUCAACCUUGCUUUUGCUUGGUGUACUUUCUGGUUGACGGGCCAGCAUCAAUUUUGACUAUUGGAAAAAAAUCAGGGAAAUGUGGCAUCUUUGCAUGUGUUAUAGUCCUUGGUUGUAUACAAUGGUUAGGAUUGAGGAAUUCAGCACGCCGCAAGGUCGGGUGU
rnacentral:rRNA from 1 species